rnacentral:rRNA from 1 species
UGCCAGCCGCCGCGGUAACACGGGGGGCGCAAGCGUUAUUCGGAAUUAUUGGGCGUAAAGGGCGCGCAGGCGGUCUUGUCGGUCAGGUGUGAAAGCCCGGGGCUCAACCCCGGACGUGCAUUUGAAACAGCAAGACUUGAGUACGGGAGAGGAGAGAGGAAUUCCUGGUGUAGAGGUGAAAUUCGUAGAUAUCAGGAGGAACACCGAUGGCGAAGGCACUUUACUGGGCUAUUACUAACACUCAGAGACGAAAGCUAGGGUAGCAAAUGGGAUUAGAUA